rnacentral:snRNA from 1 species
UAGGGAGUCCGGAGACGUCGGCGGGGG